UUAAGAAAAUCAAGGGGAAAUAUAAAAAAAUCAAACUAGAUCAAACAAAACACAUUUCAUGAUAAAAUUAAAAUAAAAUACCAAAACAAUUAUAAAAAUAAAAUAAAAUUAUAGGAAACUAAAUAACAUCUUAAAAUACAUUCAUGAAUUUUUGGGGAGUUUUGGGAUUGUUGGAAGUAUUAAAAUAAUAUCAGAAAAGAAAAUAAAGAACAAAAGAAAUAAAA
rnacentral:lncRNA from 1 species